GAAUAUAUAAUUCGGACGGGACCGGCUUUGUCUGCAAAGAUGACUAGUUAACGGCCGCGGUAUUUUGACCGUGCGAAGGUCGCGCAAUCACUUGUCUUUUAAAUGAAGACCUGUAUGAAUGGUGGAACGAGGGCUUAACUGUCUCCCUCUUCAAGUCAAUGAAAUUGAUCUGCCCGUGCAGAAGCGGGCAUACCCAUAUUUCGACAGGAAGACCCUUUGGAGCUUAAGAUGUAAGAUCAACUAUAUCAAGAAUUACCAAAAUUAAUUAAACUAAAUAGCAACUGAUCCCUAUCUUCGGUUGGGGCGACCACGGGAGAAAACAAAGCUCCCACGCGGACUGGGGACACCCCCUAAAACUAAAAAAAGACAUCUCUAAGUCACAGAACAUCUGACCACAAAGAUCCGGCCGCCGGCCGAUCAACGGACCAAGUUACCCUAGGGAAUAACAGCGCAUUCCUCUUCCCAGAGUCCAUAUCGACAGAGGGUUUACGACCUCGAUGUUGAAUCAGGACAUCCUAUGGUGCAGCCGCUAUUAGGGUUCGUUUUGUUCAACGAUAAGUUCUACGUGAUCUGAUUCCAACCGGAUCGUCCUGUUUUUAAAUCAUAUUCUGAUCUGAUUUCACACGGGUGG
rnacentral:rRNA from 1 species